AGGCCUCGGUGCAUCCGUUUUGGCGAACGUUUUUGGUGGUAUUAGUCGCUGUACCCCACGAAACGGACCAAAACCUAUCAGGUCCCCCAGUUAAUUGGCUCUAAUCCCGACCCCCACACCCAAUCGGGCAAAGACUUUGUGGUCCUCCACUACACCUGAAGAAAGGGGCGUAGCGGCGGUAGCUCAAGCAGAAGCUGUAGGACGUGGCGGCCGGCGGUAGCAGUUAAGCGAGCUGGGGCUGGCAGGGGCCGAAGGGGCUGGUGCAGGGGCCGGGGCACUGAGGCUCUGGCUGCGGCGAUGAUGACUCAUGCUGAUGCCACAACUGCUGGGGAGGACGAACGGUCUCGUUAGUCUACAACCUCGGGUCCUCAGUCUACGGUGGAAGCUACUGAGCAUGAUCGUGCUCCCACGGAUGAUGAUGUACGUCCGGCAGCGGCUGCUGGUCCUCAUCAAAUCAUCCUAGGGUCCGUCCUCCGGACGUGGAGAAAGCUAGACAUAGGGUCAAACACGAUCGGAAGAAUACCGUUGAACAAAUUGAAUACAGACAUGAGUCUAUAACAACGAAGGCGACUGAGCAGAUACUAGCUCGUGAACAUAAGCUCGGGAGCUCCGGGGACCGAACAUAAUACUACGAACAUACUGAAUAAAUACAAAAAUCUCAACACAACACUAUAGAA
rnacentral:rRNA from 1 species